rnacentral:rRNA from 1 species
GAUGAACGCUGGCGGCGUGGAUAACACAUGCAAGUCGAGCGGUAACAGGUGUAGCAAUACAUGCUGACGAGCGGCGAACGGGUGAGUAAUGCUUCGGAAUCUGCCCAGUAGUGGGGAAUAACGUAGGGAAACUUACGCUAAUACCGCAUACGAACUACGGUUGAAAGCAGGGGAUCGCAAGACCUUGCGCUAUUGGAUGAGCCGAAGUCGGAUUAGCUAGUUGGUGAGGUAAAGGCUCACCAAGGCGACGAUCCGUAGCUGGUCUGAGAGGACGAGCAGCCACACUGGAACUGAGACACGGUCCAGACUCCUACGGGAGGCAGCAGUGGGGAAUAUUGGACAAUGGGGGAAACCCUGAUCCAGCGACGCCGCGUGUGUGAAGAAGGCCUGCGGGUUGUAAAGCACUUUUAGUGGGGACAAAAAGCCAAAGGCUAAUACCUUUUGGUCUUGAUUUAACCCAAAGAAAAAGCACCGGCUAACUCUGUGCCAGCAGCCGCCGUAA